CAGCAGUUGGGUCAUGGACGACUUCCUGUUUUAGGUUAGUGGGAACGUUGUGAGCUGCUCUUGUCAGUUACAACAAGAUGGCUGCGGCGGCACUGUUCCUUCUAACGCAGUGAGGUUUCCGAGGGGAGCCAGAAGCCCAACUUAACCAUACUCUGUAGAAGGAAUUUUCAGCCUUGGACUGAUGCCCCGUCCUGUAUUUGCACUUUAAACUCUGGAGAUCAGAAGCGUGGAUUUUUUUGGAAAUCUACCUUUGAAGCUCUUGCCUAUAGUGACGUUUAUCUGCAGCAAAAUCCUUUUGCUGGUUUGUAUUUGGUAAAAAAAAAAUAAUUGUCCAGUGCUUGGAGACUAAACAGUAUCAUUCCCAUUUGAAGUUGAUGUUGCUCUGCAAUUUUGUUUUUACUGUGGCAUGCCAAGAAAAGUAGGAAAUAGGUGUUCGGAUCUGUCAUAUUACGGGUAUUUACAGAAAAAAGGCUUAUCCACUCCUUCAGCGAUACUGAAUUAAAAAGCUGCCAAAGAGCCACACGAAGAAAAGGGAGGAAGAACAAGAAACACAAGAAGAGGAACAUUUGAUGGAA